UACGUAGGCAGCAAGCGUUGUUCGGAGUUACUGGGCGUAAAGGGUGUGUAGGCGGUUCUUUAAGUUUGGUGUGAAAUCUCCCGGCUCAACUGGGAGGGUGCGCCGAAUACUGAGGGACUAGAGUACGGGAGAGGAAAGUGGAAUUCCUGGUGUAGCGGUGAAAUGCGUAGAUAUCAGGAGGAACACCGGUGGUGUAGACGGCUUUCUGGACCGACACUGACGCUGAAGCACGAAAGCGUGGGUAGCAAACAGG
rnacentral:rRNA from 1 species